rnacentral:misc_RNA from 1 species
GAUGAAGAACGCAGCAAAAUGCGAUAAGUAAUGUGAAUUGCAGAAUUCAGUGAAUCAUCGAAUCUUUGAACGCACAUUGCGCCCGCUGGUAUUCCGGCGGGCAUGCCUGUUCGAGCGUCAUUUCAACCCUCAAGCCCCCGGGUUUGGUGUUGGGGAUCGGCUCUGCCCUUCUGGGCGGUGCCGCCCCCGAAAUACAUUGGCGGUCUCGCUGCAGCCUCCAUUGCGUAGUAGCUAACACCUCGCAAUUGGAACGCGGCGCGGCCAUGCCGUAAAACCCCUACUUCUGAAUGUUGACCUCGGAUCAGGUAGGAAUACCCGCUGAACUUAAGCAUAUCAAUAAGCGGAGGA